rnacentral:lncRNA from 1 species
UUUUAAUUUAAAAAUAUAGUAACUUACAUUAUUACAUUAAUGUUAGGGACCUCAAUCAAAAACUAAAAACUAACAAGGUUUCAAUCAAAGAAUAUUGAUAGCUAGGGACCGCAUCCAAAGUAUCCCUUUUUUUAAACAUCCCAAAUAAGUAUCCAAUUUAUUUAAAACAUCACAUCCAUUAAGCCUCAAUUAGAUUUAUGUUAAAUUAAUUAGGAUUUACUUUGUCUCCAAAUGUCGCAUGGCCUCCACACUAUCACCCCCAUCAGGUCAUCACCUCCAAAUUCACGCACAACACCAACUCCACCUUACAACUCACGCCGCCAACAUUGAAAAGAAGGUCAUGGAGGUUGCUAAAAUGGUAUGAAUUGUCAUGAUGUGGCCACCACCAUCUUCACCAUCCAUAAAGAGAUUGGAAGAUUUAUGAAUCAAGAAUCGGCGAAUGAGGAAAUCACAUGAGCAGAAAAAAGCUCUUUGAAAUCCUAUAUGAAUUCUUAAUCAUCUUAUUUGUUAGGUGAUUAUCCUCCUGAUGUAAUCUCAAUUUGGGUGCAUUUUCGAUUCAAUUCAAUACUUGUUUGAUCAUUGGGUUCCAUCUUAUAUAAUCUACAUUUGAAAUUUAGAUUUUGAGGCAAAUAAUGUUAAUAUUGACCAUGAUAUACACAGUUGGUGUGUUUUAAAAAUAAGGGUUGGGAUGGGGUAUUAGUGAUCGUAGGUUGAGCUUGGAGGUGCUGGGCGCUUGAUAUUUUUCUAUCUUCAUUUAUGUUUUCCAUUUUAUUCAUGAAUUAGUUUAUUUAUUUUUAUUUUUUCAUCUUGAUGUCUUUUUUGAAGUUAUUUUUAUUAUUAUUUUAGUGACCAGGUAAGCUAAAAAGUGAGACUUAUUGUUUGGUACUUAUUUGAAAUGUUUACAAAAAAAUUGAUAUCAAUUUGAAAUGAUAGUAAAAAGUUAGGAAAUUUUAGGUACUUGAUCCUGAAUUUUAUAUACACUAUUAUUAUUAAAAUAAUAGUGCAUUUAAAGCAACAAAAUAUUAUAGCAACAGCCCGUAUUGAGACUUAUUAUAUAUUUUGGUGCUAGAUUUAUAUAUAUUAUAUUUUUAUUAGUUCAAAAUAAAUUAUAUUAAAAAAAGAUUAAUAACAUAUUAGGGUAGACAUUCUAAAUGUAAUAAAAAAAUCGUAAAUGCUGAAACAAACACGACAACUUCAUAUAAUUUCGAAUUUUUAGUUUCUCUUUCACGUGCUCAACCAUGUUUCGGCAUGUGCACAACUCCCUCGCGGCUGCCGGUUUUUUAAUCAGAAAUUCUGAAGGGAGAUAAAAUCUUCUGCUUUUAUUUUGUGUGUAACCUCUAAGCUUGUUGUGGUUAUUGCUGAAGCCUCACCUUUGAAGUUUGGCCUACUUCAAACUCGAGGAUCUGGCCUUACCCAUGUUUCAAGUUGAGAGUGACUCCAAGCCUUUGAUUGAUUGUCUUGAUGUAUCAUGUUCAAUUCCUCAGUAAUGCUAUUCUUACCAUAUUUUUAUACCACAUUUAUAUAUCACCUUAUGUGGCAUCUAAUGUGGAUAGUCACAUCAUUUAAAUUAAUCAAAAUUUCAUUUAAGGAGAAAUUAGGUUCACAUCAUUCUUUUUGCUACUCCAUUGAUUAAAAUCCUAUUCAUUUUCAAUUUUUGAUCAGGUUCUUGGGUAUUAAUAACAUCAUUAAUUAUUUGAAUAAUAAAAUAUUUUUAUUUUUAAAUAUAUUCCUUUGGUGUUAAAAAUGUUAAAAUUAGUAUAUUUAUAUUUAUGGCAAAACUUUUUAUCAUAUAUAUUUAUUUUUAGUUUGCACCUAUUUUUAAUUUGUACCAAUUUUCUUUUCACUUUUAAUUUGUACCCAUAUAUUAGUUUCUUUUGUGCCCAUAUUUUUUAAAGUUUUAUUUGUGUUUGUACCCAUGUGUAUAUCGUCACGUGACAUUGUAUAUUUAAUCAAUGAUAGAAAAAUAACAUAUGGUAUAUUUAUGUUUUAUGCCUAAACUUUGUAUCAUAUAUUUAUAUUUUGAGUUUGUACCCACUUUUAAUUUGCAACAUUUUUUUAAAUGUAGUAUUUUCUUUUUAGUUUUAUUUUGUAACCAUGUAUUAAUUUCUUUUAGUGCCUAUAUUUUUUAAAAAUUCAUUUGUACUCAUAAUUUUUUAAUCUUUUAUCCGUACCCUAAUUUAUUUAUAAUGUACCCAUUCUUGUUUAUUAAUGUAUCUGUGAACACGGAAAAUUCCUGAAACGAAAGAGACAAGAACAAACGUGCACGAACAAAU